rnacentral:rRNA from 1 species
CCCUUAGAUGUUCUGGGCCGCACGCGCGCUACACUGAUCGAGCCAGCGAGCCUGUCCCUCGCCGGCAGGUGCGGGUAAUCUUGUGAAACUCGAUCGUGCUGGGGAUAGACCAUUGCAAUUUUUGGUCUUCAACGAGGAAUUCCUAGUAAGCGCAAGUCAUCAGCUUGCGUUGAUUACGUCCCUGCCCUUUGUACACACCGCCCGUCGCUACUACCGAUUGAAUGGUUUAGUGAGAUCUUCGGAUUGGAGUCCUCGGUGGCGGCGACGCCGCCUUGGGCAGCCGAGAAGUUGAGCUAACUGAAUUAUUUAGAGGAAGUAAAAGUCGUAACA